GUAUUUCCUGAGGAUACAGUGGCUACAUUGAGCAAUAGUGCUAAUUCAAGUUUUGUCCAAAGGUGAGAGUCUUUAUCAUGAACUGGCAUUGUUUUGGCACCGAGAGAGCUACCAUGAACAUUGUGUGACGUUUUCUGUGCAUGCCAGUCGUUGUGGAGGGGGUAGUGGAGGCGUGUAGUGACGGAGUACUAUGUCCAAGUUCGCCCUGUGGCAUGCAAAGAGUUCUGAUAGUUACCAGAUACAUAUUGAUAUGGGGGACCCAGUUUCUGGGGGAAAUAGAUCAGGCGAGGUUUGUGGUGGCCGAACUCGUAAACGAAUCCUAGAUCCUUUGGAAGCCCAUGAGGAUGAUAGCAAUGCUCGCCGUCUUGGAGUCUUCACUGAUUGGCAAGAAGCAAUAAAGAGUAUAGGCGUGCCAAGCAAAAAAGAUACAUUUCGACCUGUGGUGGGAACAACGUUUUUGGAGGUGCAGCAGCCAAAAGGUUUUAUCUCUGUAGAAGGGGGCCAUCAGAGACAUUGGGAGUCAGAGGACAUUGAUCAAGGGCUGGCAGCAGAUUUUGACGACUCCCUUUCAGGUUUAGGAGUAGACAUAAGCACCGCAUCGUACAACAUGAGUGAGGCUUUACUUGCUCUUCCCUCUGUGUCACAGUUUAAGGAGGAGGCUGCAUCCCCAAACCAAGACAAGCAAAGUGUUACAUCAUCCACUCCUGCAACAUUUGAUGAUUCCUCACAAAGCAAUACAACUGACAGACUUUUCAAGCUUUUGAGCAGUGAUAGUAUAUCAGAAGGUGCUCCACCUACCAUUCAUCAGCUACUUCAGCAACACCUAACUCCUGGGGCCAACCCGGGAACAUUGCAGCACCAAACAGCCUCAUCUGCAAAUCUUGCUUCCUGCCACCACUCUGCCCUCUCAUCCGUCCAUUCAUCAAACACAGAUGUCACACAUGAACCUGUUUCUGUCUCCUCACAAAAUAUGUCUUAUGAAGACAGCAGGUUUCAGUAUAUAUUGGGUGCUGCAACAUCUGUGGCAACAAAGGUGAACGAAGAAAGCUUAUCGUACCUGAACCAAGGCCAGUCUUAUGAAAUCAAAGUAAAAAAACUGGGUGAUCUCACAAGCUGUAAAGGAAAAUUGUACCAUAGUGUAAUACGAGUAUGUUUCCACGAGCGGCGUCUACAAUACAUGGAGAGACAACAACUGGAGAGUUGGAGACAGAUGAGACCGGGAGAGAGAAUAUUGGAAGUUGAUAUUCCUCUCUCAUAUGGUGUAUUUGAUGUGCAACAAGACUUAAAAUCGCUCAACAUGUGUGAAUUUGACUGGGACCCAACAAAAGAAGUAGGAGUCUAUAUAAAGGUAAAUUGCAUCAGCACUGAAUUCACCCCUAAAAAACAUGGUGGAGAGAAAGGUGUACCUUUUCGUAUUCAGGUGGAGACGUACAACCAAACUAGUUCUGGACUUGAACGAUUACAUGUGUGUGCUUGUCAAAUCAAAGUUUUUAAGCUGAAAGGAGCAGAUAGAAAACACAAACAAGACAGAGAGAAAAUAAUGAAGAGAUCUCUCUCGGAACAAGAAAAAUACCAGCCAUCUUGCGAGUGCACCAUCUUAACAGAGUUGUCUCCUGAAGCAGUUUAUGUACCUGUCACUGAUUCGUCAUCACCCAUAGCAACACCUAUUGCUGGUGUAAAAAGUCUAUCAUUGCGGGGACACAGUCCAUCAAGCGAUAUAAAAACUGACCCAUCAUCCUCAGAACCAUUAAAAAUUAUUGAAAAUGGCAAUCCGCAUGAUCCAGACGAAGAACAAGAUAAUCCGGUAAGCAAGAUUGAUAACUUUGCAAGUGGUCUCUCGCUCAAGGGGAAACUGAUAUUCCAGAAAUACUAUGGUGCUCCUCUCAAUACUGGAAGCAGUACAACUCAGACUACAGCUUGGUUAAUGGCCAAUCGUUUUAACAAGUACACCAGCAUGUUUUCAAAUUUCUCCGGUACCGAUAUCUUAAGACUGUCUCGCUCAGACCUCAUAGAAAUGUGUGGCAUGGCUGAUGGACUUAGACUAUUUUAUGCCCUACAUGCUAACAGGAAUGUAGUGCCAAGACUAACCCUCUAUGUGUGUCUAGAGCAUGAGCAGCUGUAUCAUGCAGUGUACCUGGAGAACCUCACCUGUGUCGACUUCACACGCAAAUUGUCAGCUCUAAUGCAGAUUACACCUGAACGUAUUCAUGAUGUGUAUUUGCAAGGGCCAUCAGGGAUCCACAUUAUGGUUACAGACGAGGUGGUGCAAAACAUGGCAGAGGAAUCCAUGCUAUCCAUUGAGGUGCUACAAGAUACUGCUGGGGAAAGGUUCAGAUUAUUAUUAAGAAUAAACAACAGUCAACCCAAUCUUCCACAGUCUUAGUAUAGGUUCAUACAUUUAAGCUGGUAAAUCUUGCCACAUGGGAUUUAAUUCAAAAGCUUCCAGAACAACUUCAAGGAACCAAAAACCAGUCAACCGAGGAAGAACUACGAACCUCAGCUAGUAGACACAAGUCGAAGAGCUGGAUGCCUAAAAUGUUACUCGUUGAGGAAGGAGAGGACGUAGGACCCCAAAGACAAAUACCCAGACCUGCAUCAUACAAAAGAAUGAACAGGAUGCCAAGGACCAUUGAAAUGACUAAGGAUCCACAAAAUAAAUACCCACAGGACCAGAAUGACCAGUUGAAUGAGGCGAAGCAAAACAUUUAAACUGGAAGGAACUUGGAAAACCAGAGAAACUGCAGAACUUAGGUCUCCAAAAGUCCUGUUCCAUGAAAGGACUGGAACUAAGGGACAUCCCACAGCAAGGGAGGCAUCAACACAGCUAAACCCCCAUUUAACAAGCCAGUGAAGAUCUUGCAGGGAAGAAAAGUAGUUGCUCAAACUUGAAGCCCUGAAUUCAAAGAUGUGAUGCACCUGGAAACAGGCCAGGUAGAAGGCACACAACUGACCUCCCAACCCACUGUAUUGUAAGAUGAGCAGUAAAACAGUGGGGUGAGGACACAAAAGAGCAUUCCGGUGAGAGCUCGGGUAAUGCAUCAAAGACAAACUCCCCAAAUUCUGCCCACAGCAGAAGAAAAUAUCCACAAGAAGCCAGGCACCACUCAUAUAAAAAAAAAAGACAUACAUAUAUUGGGGGUGUUCUCUAAAUGCACUUCUAAGUUGUAUGAUGAUUUCCCUCCCUUGUCCUACACAAAGCUUAGAAAAGGAAAAUGCUGCAAGAUGAUGCAAAUCAUCUCUGUGCAGACACAAACAUCAUUAUUAGUACAAAUGUAGAACAGUAUGCCAGAAGCAUCAUGCAGAGGAUGAACAGGCAGACUCCAAAAAAGUGAGUGCAAAUCCAACCAAAGGCUCAGUGAAAACCUCUGGUCUCAUGGAAGCCGAACCCCAACAAGAACAAAAAGAGUGAGCAACGAGGAACACAUCCUUCCAUCUCAGUCACUGGAGAAAAAAUAACACUGCUACACCUCAGAAACCACAGCCAAGUGCCAGAGCCAUUGCUGAAGGGUCCUAAACACCCACAAGGGCCAGAUACACUCCAAAACAGUGGACUAAAGGUAAACCGACAAGGCCCCACUGAAUAUUGAAACACAGAUGCCCUGGUACCAAUACAGACCCAAAAAAGACACAGCUGGGGUGAAAGAGAAGCACAGCAAGAACUGAAAAUAGCAAGUGGCAUGAUAAAGAACCCAAAGAAGGGGAACUACUACUAGCCAAGGACAGACCGGGCCAGAAAACCAAAACCACGACGAAUCCUAAGGCAUGGUCCCAGCCACAAAGCAGGAACUGGAACACGGCCACCCACGCUGCCAUCAGAGAUGUCCAGACAGCAACCCGCAAAAAGUGGCAACCUGAAGAACCCACAGACCUUUGAGAAAGCACCUGCUAGUGGGUGCCACAGGAAAAGCUUCAUCCCUGAAUGGAGCUAAAAUCCCCACAAAAGCAAAGAGAGUGGAGGUACUAAUACCCGCCUCGGUGUCCCCGAAUGCCCCAAAGUCCAAUGACAAAAAUGACAAGAGCUCAGAGGCAGUGCCAAGAACCAUGCCUAAUGCCUAUAAAAGAGGUGUAUCAAAUUGGAAGAUGAUGCCCAUUCAAACAACAGCAACCUUAAACAACCAGAAGAUGUAAGCAGAGUCCCAGCUAUAAACACAGGCUCAAUUGUCUAUACCUUGGGCUCAGAUGGAUGAAAUCUCUAAGAGACCCCUGCAAAGCCCCAAGGUUUUAGAAAAAUGGUCCUGGAGACCACACAAGGGAGACAACAGCCAUGCAUCCUCUACCCAAGGUGAAGAGGUAAUGGCCAUACCAUACAAAGGAAGAGAUAAUAGGAGACUGCUGCUGGUAAACAAAAUAUAGAGUACACAAUCACCCCACCACCCCACUGAAAAGCAGGGCAAAGACUCAUGGGGGCACCCAAGCCCAAGGGAUAUUUGCCAAAACAAAAGGUUGCAUCGCUCCAUUGUAGGGUGGUACAACUUGUGUGUAGUUCUUGUGUAGGACAAGAACAAGAACUGCAGGAUGCCCUGGUGCUCGGGAGUGACCCGCACUCCUGAUCCAGGAAAACAUGGCAAGGGGAAGGUGUAAGUCAUCUCUAGAACUUGAGCUGGAACACUCACAUACAGCAGAUCUCCAAAACAGGUUAACUACAGCUCACCCCAAUCAUCAGAUCCCGCAGAGGAGCCAAAGUGCAUGCACCCCCCCCCUCCCCAGGGACCCCUCAAUAGUAGGUAAACCCCUAAUUUUCUCAGGGAAGAUAACGCAGGCUGAAGGUAUGUGCAGUGCUAAUGGCUACUACAAAAAAAAUUCUAAUCACAUGCAGCUGCAGCAAAAUGUGAAUCAAGGCAUAUAUGUUUUGGUGUUCCCAAACUACAUUUGCAUGUAUUUUGGGGAGGCCAAAAUACAGGCAAAUGAAGCCUGAUAAAGAAACAAACACAAAAACAGAUCCCUGCACUGUACUAGUCCAAAGAAUGGUUAGCACAGCUGAGAAGUGAGCCUAAAGUGCAGGUGAACCUGAGAGCUCCAGGUGCAUGAAUGAGGCAAGUUAGCUGGCUAGUGCACAUUGGUGGCUGGAACUGCCAUUUAGUGGCCUAAAAGUGUUGCUAACUAGCAGUCAACCUUUAUAAACGAGUGUGCAUGGUUCAUGUCAGAGUUACCGAUGUUGUCCAUUGUUUUGUUGUACUCUAACUUUCUGGUGGUUUCUCCUUUGGAUUGCUGUGGUGAUCUAGUACCCCCAGACUCUAGACUCCCUUUGCCUCCAUUGAGGGAGUCAGAUUCUGGCAUAGGAGCUCCCCAUUAUACGAACACUCAUUCAUCCGAACAGUCUUCCAAGUCCCUCUUUUUGUCUUUCAAUCCACCAGAUGUAUAUAUAUCUAUCAAAAUGUCCACAUGACCCACGAAUGUCACACUGUAAUCCACACUGCCCCAGUCAGCAGUACUGUGAUCACUCUCAUAAAAAGCUAAUCAUCUUUACUCAAACUUCUACUGUCUUGAGAUGAUUUCGGGGCUUAGCAUCCCCACGGCCCAGUCCUUGACCGGGGCCUCCUUUUUGUUACACAUCCCCAGGAAGCAGACAAUAACAGCUGUCUAACUCCCAGGUAUUGUACCUAUUUACUGCUUGGUGAGCAGGUGCAUCGGGGUGAAAGAAACUUUGCCCAUUUGUUUCCGCCUCCACCGGGAAUAAAACCCAGGCAAUUAGGGCUUUGACCCCCAGGUGCUAUCCACUCAGCCACGAGGCCCCCACCUGUGUGUGUGUGUGUGUACUCACCUAGUUGUGCUUGCGGGGGUUGAGCUUUGGCUCUUUGGUCCCGCC